rnacentral:lncRNA from 13 species
GAAAACAACCUUCUUAUUUUUCUUCUCUCUCUGCCCAUCUCAGGUUCCUCUGUUGGUUUCCAUCAACCUUUAUAUGUCCUUGUGUGUGUCCAGCUUGGUUACGGGCCUUCUACUAUUUUCUAGACCCUUUUGACCUAGAUGAGCUCAUGGAGGCUUUGAAAACCAUCCACCUGCUCAGGCCUCCUACACAUGCAUCUUCGACUCUGACCUUUCCACUGAGCUACAGGCUCACACCUACUUGUCAUCUCCAUUUGGAUGUCUACCAGGAGAACCAUAAGUCACUAUGAAAGCUUUCUGGCCACCCUGCUGAAGAGAGGCCACAUAAAGAGGAGGAGAGGUCUACUGAUUCAGCAUUUUAGUUGAGCUUCCAGCAGACUCCAGCCUCAGGCUUUAUCUGGAUGCACCUACAUGAGAGACUCCUAAGCAAGACCAGCAGAAGAACCACCCAGCUGAUCCCAGUCAACCCAUAGAACCAUGAGAGAGAUAAUAAAAUGGUGGUUGUUUUAAAGCCA